CUUAAGAAUGUACCCUGUAAUAAUGUGUUUUUCUUGUGCAUCAUUUUUGUAUCCUUAGCUUUUAUGAAACCACCACAGGUUCACCUUAUGUGUUUUUAACAUCCUUUUAUAGAUGUAAAUCAGUCAGAAAGCAUUCUGUAUCUAAACUUUGAAUGUAUUACUUUUUUUUUAUGUUUAUUCUAAUUGUUUAUGUUUGCAUGUGCUGCUGGAGGAAGAGGCCACUGAGCUAGAGCAAUCUCAGCUGUUGAGGCACCACUCUGGUUUAGGUUUACAUGUCCUGGCCUGUUAGUUCUACUUCUAGCUCUAUAUUCUCCAGCUUGUAAUGAGCUAUUUGCAAAUUGCAAGGCACUGGUUUGAAUGUUGACAUGACCUUUAUUUUACAAUCAGGGUAAACCUAAUGUAUUUCAUGCGCUGCCUGGCUGAUAAUAGACGAUAUCGCACACAAUGUGGUUGGCAAUUAAUAUGACAACCGUGCUGGUGCUGAGGACCAUUGCAUGUACUCGUAAUGCCAUCUAGAGAUCUUUCAAACAUACUAUCUGCAAGAAUAAAGUGUGCUAUAGCCUACAUGAAUGUGUACAUCGACGCAAUCAUCUACGGAUCUACGGUACAAAUGGUGACAAGGCUAUCUGAGCAAUCUGGUGAGAGACCAGAGAAUGAUCAAGCUGAGCCAUAUUGUACUGGUCCAUCUUUGCAUGCUUAAAGAAAAGCGUGGAGUAACUUGGUAUCGAUGCUUUUAAAAAUGUGAAAUAAUUUGGUAUGGAUGGUUAAAGGAAACAACUUUCUGUCCUGCCAGAAAUUCAUACAGGGAACCGGUGAAGAUGCACGACAAGCUAAGCUUGAAGACUACUGUAGGUAAGAUUCUUAAUCUCUUCCCUUCAUAUCUUAAUGAAAUUUGGUGGGCUAAUCUUUCGUUGCCCGGCAAAAAAAGGAUUCUUGACCUCCCCUGCUCUCUCCUUUUCAUUUUUUAAAACUUUUUUCUACGUCAUCUUGCGUGCUGAAUAAUUGUCUCGGUUUUUGCACCAUGCUAAGUCUCGUUGACCACUAUUAUCGUAGAUAAUUGGUCAAGCCUACCCGUUACAUUUGGUAUUGACAUUCUCUGGGUCAACCGUGAAACUGCCGCCCUCUCAUCCGUUCAUACUUCAUACUAGUUGACUGGGAAUUGCUUGCUUGUAUCCUUGUACCUGUGACAUCGAUUGUCCGAGCUGACUUCCGGUUGUUUACUGUGGUAGAGUUCAGACCGAAUACCGCUUUGUUUCCUGGUCUGCGUGUCGCUCGCAUCGCGGUUUUGACUGCAUUCAUCAGAAGAUUGGGGGCGUACACACUGGCACUAUCAAACUACUAGUAGUAGGUCUUUGCAGCCUGUCGGCGUUUUGCAUGACUUCACUCCAAGCUUGACAAAUUUGUUGUAGCGUAGGGGUAACAGCAAGAAAUUCUCCCCCUCGUGGCAAUACUUUUAUUGCACUGAGAUUUCCUCUUCGUCGGUAUAUAUGUCGUCUAGGUUUGGUAGUCAAUGAUAUUGUAGCUUUGUAGAAUGUUUCAAAUAUGCAUCCAAUUCAUAUAGAAAAUGGAAAAGCAUCAUGUUUGUUUCAAACACAGCUUUCAGCCUUUCAAGGAUAUGUAUAUGAAAAUAUAUUGUUUGUAAUUGUCAUGAGAUAUGGAUACAGUUCCAAUCUA